rnacentral:lncRNA from 1 species
UUCCAAAGGCUCACCCUAACUCCUUUGCUUUGUUUCAGGAUUCACAUAGAUUGACAUUUGAUCCGGGAGGAUACACCUUGACGAAGCAAGAGGCUGCUAUCCGAGAUCAAGCAUGCACAUCUGAGGAUAGAUCUUCUCCUGAAGGAGGAGAUGAUGGAAACCAUCCAGCCACAACCAUCCCCCGAGCAAAAGCCUUGGAUUUGAGGACAAAUCCUUUUCAAGAGGGAGGGGAUGAUGGAGGAGGGCCCAAGCUCACCACACUAUGAAAGCCAAGCUUCCAAGACUAAGAUCGUCUAGCCAUGAUGAGAGCGUCUAGCCUCAACAAAAGGAGUGUCUAGCCAUGAGGAGGAGCGUCUAGGCCAUGAAGAGGAGCGGCUACAUAAGGAGCAUCUAUGAAGAGUCCUAGACCGUCUAGCUUCACAUAUACAUGGGCCAAGCUAC